UCUCCGUAGGUGAACCUGCGGAGGGAUCAUUACAGAGUUCUCGCCCUCACGGGUAGAUCUCCCACCCACUGUUAUCGUUACUGUCGUUUCUUUGGCGGGCCGCAGGGUCCCCGGCCGCCGGCGCCUAGCUGCCGGCGCGCGCCCGCCAGAGGCCUUCAAACUCUGAAUGUUAGUGUCGUCUGAGUACUAUAUAAUAGUUAAAACUUUCAACAACGGAUCUCUUGGUUCUG
rnacentral:misc_RNA from 1 species